rnacentral:rRNA from 1 species
UUUGAUCAUGGCUCAGAGCGAACGCUGGCGGCAGGCUUAACACAUGCAAGUCGAACGGGCACUUCGGUGCUAGUGGCAGACGGGUGAGUAACGCGUGGGAACGUGCCUUUCGGUUCGGAAUAAUCCAGGGAAACUUGGACUAAUACCGGAUACGCCCUUCGGGGGAAAGAUUUAUCGCCGAAAGAUCGGCCCGCGUCUGAUUAGCUAGUUGGUGAGGUAAAGGCUCACCAAGGCGACGAUCAGUAGCUGGUCUGAGAGGAUGAUCAGCCACAUUGGGACUGAGACACGGCCCAAACUCCUACGGGAGGCAGCAGUGGGAAUAUUGGACAAUGGGCGCAAGCCUGAUCCAGCCAUGCCGCGUGAGUGAUGAAGGCCUUAGGGUUGUAAAGCUCUUUUGUCCGGGAAGAUAAUGACUGUACCGGAAGAAUAAGCCCCGGCUAACUUCGUG